GUGCAACAAUAUCUGCGCCAUCUCUCACCGCCUGUGCAGAAGAGAUCAACCAAAAGAUCGCUCUGUUUCUUUGCUGGUUCCGGACAAGCAAACCGAUCACCACAUCAAAAGUUUUAAAAAAGAAGGAAUAUAGCAUUUAAAAGAGAUUAUUAAACUUUUAAUAACAAAACAAUGAUUACAGCUACUGAAGCUGAGAGAUCAGAUCAGCUCAGCUGAGACAAGAGAC
rnacentral:misc_RNA from 1 species